UUUUAAACCAUCACUGUUUUUUUAGAUAAAGUUCUUGUAUUAUUGAAACGUUGAUAAUGUAAUUUGGAAAAAUAAAUAUACCUAUAUGGUCCAAAUACUCAUAUGGUCCGGCCCGUUAAUAACCAAACGAGUAUUAUACUCAUAUGGUCCGACCAUACGCGUACGGUCGGACCAUACGCGUAUGGUCGGACCAUAUGAGUAUACGCAUAUGGUCAUGACCAUACGCGUAUGGUCCAAAUACUCAUAUGGUCCGGAACAUAUAUAAAAAUAGAUAA
rnacentral:lncRNA from 1 species